rnacentral:rRNA from 1 species
AUUGAACGCUGGCGGAAUGCUUUACACAUGCAAGUCGAACGGCAGCACGGGGGCAACCCUGGUGGCGAGUGGCGAACGGGUGAGUAAUACAUCGGAACGUGCCCGGUCGUGGGGGAUAACGUAGCGAAAGUUACGCUAAUACCGCAUACGAUCUGAGGAUGAAAGCGGGGGACCUUCGGGCCUCGCGCGAUCGGAGCGGCCGAUGUCAGAUUAGGUAGUUGGUGGGGUAAAGGCCUACCAAGCCGACGAUCUGUAGCUGGUCUGAGAGGACGACCAGCCACACUGGGACUGAGACACGGCCCAGACUCCUACGGAGGCAGCAGUGGGGAAUUUUGGACAAUGGGCGCAAGCCUGAUCCAGCCAUUCCGCGUGCAGGACGAAGGCCUUCGGGUUGUAAACUGCUUUUGUAUGGAACGAAAAGGCUCUGGCUAAUACCUGGGGCUCAUGACGGUACCGUAAGAAUAAGCACCGGCUAACUACGUG